GGGGAGUACGGCCGCAAGGUUAAAACUCAAAUGAAUUGACGGGGGCCCGCACAAGCGGUGGAGCAUGUGGUUUAAUUCGAUGCAACGCGAAGAACCUUACCUGGUCUUGACAUCCACGGAAGUUUUCAGAGAUGAGAAUGUGCCUUCGGGAACCGUGAGACAGGUGCUGCAUGGCUGUCGUCAGCUCGUGUUGUGAAAUGUUGGGUUAAGUCCCGCAACGAGCGCAACCCUUAUCCUUUGUUGCCAGCGGUCCGGCCGGGAACUCAAAGGAGACUGCCAGUGAUAAACUGGAGGAAGGUGGGGAUGACGUCAAGUCAUCAUGGCCCUUACGACCAGGGCUACACACGUGCUACAAUGGCGCAUACAAAGAGAAGCGACCUCGCGAGAGCAAGCGGACCUCAUAAAGUGCGUCGUAGUCCGGAUUGGAGUCUGCAACUCGACUCCAUGAAGUCGGAAUCGCUAGUAAUCGUGGAUCAGAAUGCCACGGUGAAUACGUUCCCGGGCCUUGUACACACCGCCCGUCACACCAUGGGAGUGGGUUGCAAAAGAAGUAGGUAGCUUAACCUUCGGGAGGGCGCUUACCACUUUGUGAUUCAUGACUGGGGUGAAGUCGUAACAAGGUAACCGUAGGGGAACCUGCGGUUGGAUCACCUCCUUACCUUAAAGAAGC
rnacentral:rRNA from 1 species